GUAUAACUGGUUCAGUAUAGGUGAGUGUUGUCUAGUGCUAUAACUGGUUCAGUAUAGGUGAGUGUUGUCUAGUGAUAUUACUGGUUCAGUAUAGGUGAGUGUUGUCUAGUGGUAUUACUGGUUCAACUGAGUUAGCGGGAGCAGACAUACAUGAAAAUGUAAAACACUCAACUUUACAAUUUAAUCAAGAAAUCAAAGCAUAUACAAUUGAUGGUGCAUUCACAGUUCACCAAAUAGAUGUGCAACUAUUUUACUUUCCACAUGACAAUUUGUAUUGCACUUGCAGGUUUGUUAAUAAAUGAAUGACUGAGGAAACAGAAUAUAGAGCCUAGUAAAAUCCCUUCAUAGUAUUUACAUGAUCUCAACCUCUUGGUAUUCAAAUCUGUAGUGUUCUUCAGAUUCCCUUUCCUGACAACUGAUGUGGUAUUAUUCUACUGUACAUUGUUCUGCCCACCAGGUAACUGGUUGAACAUGUUUCCUGGUCCCAGAGCAUCCCUCUGUUUGCUGGCAUAUCAAAUCUCUGUCCCAAAUGACCCAUAGGGCUUUGGUCAAAAGUAGGGCACUAUAUAGGGAAUGGGGUCCCAUUUGGGACACGGCCUCUGGUCAAAAGUAGUGCACUAUAUAGGGAAUGGGGGUCCCAUUUGGGACAAGACCUCUGGUCAAAAGUAGUGCACUAUAUAGGGAAUAGGUUGCUAUGUGAUACAUUUUCUCAGGUGUCCUGGUUAAGUCAAUAGUGGAGAAUAGUGUAUUUUAUAAAACUUUACUGUGACUACUAUUCAAGUCUUUCUAGAAUGAUCAGAUCUCUACAUUCAGUGGCCAGUUUAUAAGGUACACCACCCCCGUUCACGAAAAUGGUUCGUUCCUACAGUCAGUGAGUCACGUGGCCUUGGGCUUGUUAUAUAAAGCAGGCAGACAGGCAUCAAGGCAUUCAGUUACUGUUUGAUUAAACGUUAGAAUGGGCAAAACCAGUGACCUAAGUGAAUUUGAGCGUGGUAUGAUCAUCGUUGCCAGGCGAGCCGGUUCCAGUACCUCAGAAACAGCCGGCCACCCUGGCCUUUUCACGCACGACAUUGCCUAGGGUUUACAGAGAAUGGUGCGACAAACAAAAAACAUCCAGUCAGCGGCAGUGCUGUGGAUGAAAACAGCUCGUUGAUGAGAGAUGUCCAAGGAGGAUGGCAAGAAAUGUGCAAGCUAACAGGUGGAACACAAACAGGAAAAUAACGGCGCAGAACAACGGCGUCUCGAAACCCACAACUCGUCGGUCCUUGUCACGGAUUGGCUAUUGCAGCAGACGACCACCCUGGGUUCCUAUCAGCUAAAAACAAGAAGAAGAUGCUCCAGUGGGCAGGCCAUCACCAACACUGGGUUCCUAUCAGCUAAAAACAAGAAGAAGAUGCUCCAGUGGGCAGGCCAUCACCAACACUGGGUUCCUAUCAGCUAAAAACAAGAAGAAGAUGCUCCAGUGGGCAGGCCAUCACCAACACUGGACAAUUGAGGAGUGGAAAAACAA
rnacentral:lncRNA from 1 species